rnacentral:rRNA from 1 species
UACGUAGGGGGCAAGCGUUGUCCGGAAUCAUUGGGCGUAAAGAGUUCGUAGGCGGUGCAGAAAGUGGGGUGUGAAAGCCCUCGGCUCAACCGAGGAAUUGCGCUCCAAACUACUGUACUGGAGGAAGCUAGAGGUGAGCAGAACUGAUGGUGGAGCGGUGAAAUGCGUUGAUAUCAUCAGGAAUACCGGAGGCGAAGGCGGCUCACUGGGGCUUUUCUGACGCUGAGGAACGAAAGCCAGGGUAGCGAACGGG